AUUGAACGCUGGCGGCAGGCCUAACACAUGCAAGUCGAGCGGCAGCGGGAAAGUAGCUUGCUACUUUUGCCGGCGAGCGGCGGACGGGUGAGUAAUGCCUGGGAAAUUGCCCAGUCGAGGGGGAUAACAGUUGGAAACGACUGCUAAUACCGCAUACGCCCUACGGGGGAAAGCAGGGGACCUUCGGGCCUUGCGCGAUUGGAUAUGCCCAGGUGGGAUUAGCUUGUUGGUGAGGUAAUGGCUCACCAAGGCGACGAUCCCUAGCUGGUCUGAGAGGAUGAUCAGCCACACUGGAACUGAGACACGGUCCAGACUCCUACGGGAGGCAGCAGUGGGGAAUAUUGCACAAUGGGGGAAACCCUGAUGCAGCCAUGCCGCGUGUGUGAAGAAGGCCUUCGGGUUGUAAAGCACUUUCAGCGAGGAGGAAAGGUUG
rnacentral:rRNA from 5 species